UCACCUGCCAAAAAUAGACAGCCCUUCUCGGGCUUCUGUUACUUUGUAUACUGACUACCAUUUUCAUUUCUGCACGUGCAAAUCCUGCCUGAUAAAAUUUUCUAAGAUUUUCUUUUGAUUGAGGCAGAAAUUAAAGAGUGGAGAGAAGAAUGUGCCCAGAAGUCAUGAAGUCCCAGAAGCUGGUAUGCAAAGGAACAUAGCUGUGUGCUGGGGCCCUAGUGGGCGCCGAGUACUUGGCGGGGACCUGGGGCACAGCCACCAGCAGGAUGGUGACUGCCCACGAGGAGCAGACAAGCUAGCGGGGAGCAGAUGACAAAGUCAUGACACAGACGCACAUGUAAUUAAGGGAAGUUAUCUGAGAGCUGCUAGAAUCAAUCCUGAAGAACUACAUGUGGACAAUACCGCAAUUUCUGGAAUUUCUUGUUGAAAAUGGAUUUUUUCUGAAUUUCCACCAAACAUCCUUAUGUUUAAGGCUCUCCCUAAUUAUUUGUGUGUCUAUUGCUUCGGGUGAGAAAGAACAUUUCCAAAUAAAAAUUAAUUGAAAAUAUUCUUUGGUUAAUUAUGAUCAAAGAUAAAUUGAUAAAUUUGAUCAAUCUGAGCUACUUCUUGAACAUAAAAAUAUGCAAAGAUCAGGGGAGCCCAGGUGGCUCAGUCAGUUAAGUGUCCGACUUUGGCUCAGGUCAUGAUCUCGCAGUCUGUGAGUUCAAGCCCCGCAUCAGGCUCUGUGCUAACAGCUCUGAGCCUGGAGCUUGCUUCGGAUUCUCUGUCUUCCUCUCUCUCUCUGCCCCUCCCACACCUCUCUUUCAAAAGUAAAUAAACAUUUUUAAAAAUAUACAAAGAUCAGGGUUUUUUAAAUGUUUUUUAUUUAUUUUUGAGAGAGAGCACGGGGUGGGGGGAGGGGACAGGGGCAGAGAGAGAGGGGGACAGAGGA